AAACGUUCCUUUUUAACCAGGCCUUUGGUUGAUCCAGUUUACAUCCUAUGCCCUUUUAAAAUAUGGUGGGUUUGGGGGUUGGGGUUGGGGUUGGGAGGGGAGGGUCUGUUAUUGGGUUGUUGUUUUUAUUUUGAUUAUAUAUUUUGUGGUUUUGUAUUUUGAUUUUGUUCCGUGAACUGCCCGGAAACCUCCAGGUAUAGGGCAGUAUAUAAAUAUAAAAUAUAAAUAGUAGUAGUAGUAGUAGUAAUAAUAAUAAUAAUAAUAAUAAUAAUAAUAAUAAAUGUGAUGGUUUAAAGUGGCAUGAUAUGGCUUUAAAUGUAUGGUGCAUAUGUGUCUGGGACUGGCUGGAUACUGAUGAAUGGGCACCAGGAAAAGCAGGGUUGGAAAUGGACUUGGAAGAAGGAAGGGAUCAGUCUUCUGAGGGAACCUGUUGCAGCUGGGAGAUGAGUCAGAUGCAGCAGAGGCUGUAGGAUGGCAGAGUGGAGAAUAAGUGCAGGGGGAGGGCGAGACAGGGAAGGCUGGUAGAGAGUCACAGACGUCCACACCUCCUGCAGGUUACAUGCAGGCAGAAUGUGUCUGCUUGCACAGAUACAUAAGCUGAAGUCGGGGUGUGGCCUUUCUGCUGCAGCAACUGAGUCAUCAGGUGAAUAUGAUGAAAGGGUGCAAUUUCCCUAACUUGUGUGUGACCUUUGGCAAUAAAGAAUGAAUUACUUCCUCUGGAAAUUGUUUGCCUUUCUGGUGCCUUGACCAAAUGUGACCCUAGGCUACAUGGUUAGUGAAAAGAGAGGUUAACCUUGAGUCCUGCUUCAGGCAACUCAGCACAGCAAGGCAAGUAAAAGGUAAAGGUAAAAGACCCCUGGAUGGUUAAGUCCAGUCAAAGGCAACUAUGGGGUUCAUCUCGCUUUCAGGCCGAAGGAGCCAGUGUUUGUCCAUAGACAAACAUGUAGCCAGCAUGGCUAAACCGCUUCUGGCACAACGGGACACCGUGACAAGUGCCAGAGCGCAUGGAAAUUCUGUUUACCUUCCCGCCACAGCAGUACCUGUUUAUCUACUUGCACUGGCGUGCUUUUGAACUGCUAGGUUGGCAGGAGCAGGGACUGAGCAACGGGAGCUCACCCUGUUGCGGGGAUUCGAACCGCCAACCUUCUGAUUGGCAAGCCCAAGAGGUUUAGAACACAGCACCACCCAAAAAGGACCAGGGAGGGGCAAAGUGGCUGCAGGUUCCUCCAGGGGAGCCUACACACUGGCAUGGUUCCAGUAAUCCAUAAUGUGGCUUACUGUGCCAUACAAACCAGGCUUCUUACUUGUUUGAUGCAAGGGCAGUCUAAAUGAGCCCAAUUUCAUGUCAGUCCAGCCUGAGAGCCAUUGUUAUCUCACCAUACCUUAUUCUCUCUUCUUUCCAGGUUAAUAAACACCAUGGGUCCCCUGAGAGAACCUCUAUUUUACUGGAUCUGUUGUCAUCACACAUAACCUUAUACAGAACAGGUGGGAAGAAGUUUCUCCAGUUGCCCACCUGAGAUACUGAAGACUGGAAUUUUCAUAGGCUGUUCACACCUGAACCUUGGCAGAUGUGUCUAGAGUAAAAGGCUCGGCCUCACUUGGCAUGAAGUAUCUGGCGGAAAGUAUCUUUUCCUAUUGGCUCCAUGAAUUUAUGGAAUUAUAUUUGCUGAUGGGUCUGCUGGAUGGCAUCUCUGCAGAAGUAACGCCUUUUUGCUUGGGCUGUGACCUUUGACCACCUUGGCCUAUGCAGGUGAAUAUACAAGUUGUUUUGUUUUCACUGUUUGCCUUUUUAGACAUGUGUGUAAAGUGUAUAGGAACAAUUGUAACUAAUGUUCUGUUUAUUCCUCAACUUGAACAUAAUUUAAUGUCCAUUUCAAAACUUCUUUGAAUUUUGAAGUUACAUUUGUUGAAGAGAGAUGUGAAAUGGAAAGGUUUGCAUAGCAGGAAAGCUAGAAAAUUCAUUGUAUCUUAUAAGCGGAAAUUGUUUGGAAUCUUACAACAAAGAAAAUUUAAAAGUAGAGAUGACAAUGUAAAAUGGGGGGAAAGCCUCCAUAUGAUGAAUGCACACAUUUGUUCCAUAGGUGUUUAGGACAUGCCAGCUUUCAGACAUUAAGUAAAAGGCCAGGAUUGUGCUCAGAUAUGAAGUUAAAGCCAUGUAAAUCCUUUAUGGAGUGUAAUACUUGCAGGGAGAGUAAAUCAACAACAGCUCCGAUAUAGUGGCCCCCAAACUUAAAUUGAUUAUGGAUGAAAUAAUAGACAAAGGAGAAAUUCCAGAAUCCUGGCAAGAAGCUUUGAUAAAUCUCCUUCCAAAACAAGGGGCAGACCCGAAGUUGAUUAAAAAUUAUAGACAGAUUUCUCUGUUGAAUAUAGACUAUAAAAUUUUUACUGGGGUCUUAGCAAAUAGGAUGAAAAUCAUUUUAAAAAGAAUUAUAAGGAAAGACCAGGCUGGUUUCCUACCAGAAAGACAAAUAAAAGAUAACACUAGGAUAAUUAUUGACUUAAUGGAAUAUGCUAAAAUGAACCUGAGGAAAAAAAUAGUAAUGUUAUUGGUAGAUGCCGAAAAGGCAUUUGAUUGUAUCUCAUGGAGUUUCCUGACGGAGACAUUUGAAAGUUUGAGAAUAGGAAAUAGAAUAAUGAAUGGAAUUAAAGCUAUCUACAAAAAACAAAAAGCGAAGCUAAGGAUAAAUAAUGAAAUUACAGAGGGAUUUGAUAUUGAGAGAGGGGUUAGACAGGGAUGCCCCUGUCGCCACUGUUAUUCAUUAUGGCGCUAGAAACCCUUCUAGGAGCAUUAAGAAAAGACAAGGAAAUUAGAGGGACAAAUGUAGGAAACCCGUGCUAUAAAGUUAAAGGAUUCACAGAUGAUGUGAUUAUAACGAGGGAAGCACCAUUAGAAAGUAUUCAAAGAACUCUAGAAAAAAAUGAAGGAAUUCGGCAAGGUUUUGGGCUUUAAGUUGAAUAAAGAAAAGUCGAAACUAUUGGCAAAGAAUAUGGGAGAGAAAGACAGAGAAGAGUUAGAGAAAACAACAGGGCUGAAAAUAGAAGGUCAAGUGAAAUAUUUAGGUCUUUGGAUAACAAAUAAAAAUACGAACUUAUUUAAAGACAACUAUAUC
rnacentral:lncRNA from 1 species